GCCGUCAUAGCUCAGUUGGUAGAGCGAGUUCUUGGUAAGGACUAGGCCGUAGGUUCGAUCCCUGCUGUCGGCACCA
rnacentral:tRNA from 3 species